AAUGAACGCUGGCGGCAGGCCUAACACAUGCAAGUCGAACGGAUCCUUCGGGAUUAGUGGCGGACGGGUGAGUAACGCGUGGGAACAUACCCUUUGGUACGGAAUAGCCUCGGGAAACUGGGAGUAAUACCGUAUGUGGUCGAGAGACGAAAGAUUUAUCGCCGAAGGAUCGGCCCGCGUUGGAUUAGGUAGUUGGUGGGGUAAUGGCCUACCAAGCCGACGAUCCAUAGCUGGUUUGAGAGGAUGAUCAGCCACACUGGGACUGAGACACGGCCCAGACUCCUACGGGAGGCAGCAGUGGGGAAUCUUAGACAAUGGGCGCAAGCCUGAUCUAGCCAUGCCGCGUGAUCGAUGAAGGCCUUAGGGUUGUAAAGAUCUUUCAGUGGGGGAAGAUAAUGACUGUACCCACAGAAGAAGCCCCCGGCUAACUCCGUG
rnacentral:rRNA from 1 species